AAUCAAAUACAUUUGACCAUUUAUAAGAUCAAACUGAGUAUUAAAAAUGUAACCCUAAUCACGAACCAAAUACAUUAUUCAUUGAAUUUAAAAAUGAUUUGAAUGGAAAAAAAAAUUAAAUUAAAUGCAUUAAAGCCAAUGCAAGAGAAAGAGAAACCGCAUUCAUCAUUCAUAAACCCUGUUCUGUGACUGUAAGAAAGCAUCACUGAUUCAUUUAUAUAAAUGNN
rnacentral:lncRNA from 1 species